rnacentral:rRNA from 1 species
AUUGAACGCUGGCGGCAUGCUUUACACAUGCAAGUCGAACGGUAACAGGCCUUCGGGUGCUGACGAGUGGCGAACGGGUGAGUAAUGCAUCGGAACGUGCCCAAUCGUGGGGGAUAACGUAGCGAAAGUUACGCUAAUACCGCAUAAGCCCUGAGGGGGAAAGCAGGGGAUCGCAAGACCUUGCGCGAAUGGAGCGGCCGAUGUCAGAUUAGCUAGUUGGUGGGGGUAAAGGCCUACCAAGGCGACGAUCUGUAGCGGGUCUGAGAGGAUGAUCCGCCACACUGGGACUGAGACACGGCCCAGACUCCUACGGGAGGCAGCAGUGGGGAAUUUUGGACAAUGGGCGCAAGCCUGAUCCAGCCAUGCCGCGUGCGGGACGAAGGCCUCGGGUUGUAACCGCUUCUAGCCGGAAGAAAUCGCCAAGGCUAAUAUCCUUGGUGGAUGACGGUACCGGAAGAAGAAGACACCGGCUAACUACGUGCCAGCAGCCGCGGUAAUGUAG